rnacentral:rRNA from 1 species
AUUGAACGCUGGCGGCGUACCUAAUACAUGCAAGUCGAACGAGUGGCGGACGGGUGAGUAAUGUCGGGGAAACGGCCCGAUGGAGGGGGAUAAAUACUGGAAACGGGAGCUAAUACCGCAUACCAUCGGGUGUGCCCAGAUGGGAUUAGCUAGUAGGUGGGGUAACGGCUCACCUAGGCUACGAUCCCUAGCUGGUCUGAGAGGAUGACCAGCCACACUGGAACUGAGACACGGUCCAGACUCCUACGGGCGGCAGCAGUGGGGAAUAUUGCACAAUGGGCGCAAGCCUGAUGCAGCCAUGCCGCGUGUAUGAAGAAGGCCUUCGGGUUGUAAAGUACUUUCAGCGAGGAGGCGUUACUCGCAGAAGAAGCACCGGCUAACUACGUGCCAGCAGCCGCGGUAAUUC